AUACUUACCUGGCAGGGGAGAUACCAUGAUCACGAAGGUGGUUUUCCCAGGACGAGGCUUAUCCAUUGCACUCCGGAUGUGCUGACCCCUGCGAUUUCCCCAAAUGUGGGAAACUCGACUGUAUAAUUUGUAGUAGUGGGGGACUGCGUUCGCGCUCUCCCCUG
rnacentral:snRNA from 1 species